rnacentral:rRNA from 1 species
UACGUAGGUGGCGAGCGUUGUCCGGAAUUACUGGGUGUAAAGCGCGCGUAGGUGGGAGGCCAAGUCUGUGGUGAAAGCGCCCGGCUCAACUGGGCAUGGUCCAUGGAAACUGGUCACCUGGAGGACGGUAGAGGCGAGUGGAAUUCCCGGUGUAGUGGUGAAAUGCGUUGAGAUCGACAGGAACGCCGGUGGCGAAAGCGGGCCGCUGGCCCUCUUCUGACGCUGAGGCGCGAAAGCCAGGGGAGCGAACGGG